GUAGGCUCUGGUGCCGGGAGGGACGGGCAGGCAGCCGGACCAGCGAGGAAGACAAAGCCACCUUUGUCCGUUUUGACUGGCGAAGGAUUUGCGAGUCCCCGGCAGACAAGGGUUUUUGAAAGACACGCAUUACGGGGAGAAAGAGGAUUUACGAAAUUCCUUCAGUUGCCACACGGGGGGUCAGAUCGCGUAGUUUCACCACAGCCCCGGUGUGGAGUCGUCUCAGGAUGUGGGUGCAGGAAGUCUUUGUCGCCCAGGGAUGCAAGGUGACACUAAGUUGGAGAAAAAUGAUCCUGCUUUCAUGUUGGAGAAACUUCUGCUCAGCAAAGCCUCAUAUGUUAACACAGCAUGGAUCCUGCUUGGAGGCCCAUGCCAAGAAGUUAGCCUCGUAAGAAGGAACCUUCCAGGCCAUCAAAGGAAAACACGAGAGCAAGAGGCCAUCAGCAUUCCGACUGAGAGAGCUUUCCCGACAUUGAAGUCAGAAGUGCUCACGCAGCCGCCAUCACAGAUAAGGAAUAUGGAGACUUAGGCUGGGUCUCUACCACCAACAUUUUGUUCUUGCCCCCCACCUCCUCCAACUAGUCAUCUCCGUGUCCUUGUUAAAUACGUAAAACAUGUCAUGCUCUGUGCUUAUCUCUGGGAAUCAGCACACAUUCUGGCCUUUUUUCUUGGGAAACAUGGCACCAAGGAACUAGGACUGUCUCAAACCUCAAGGCCUGGGUAUCGAGAGCCCUUGAGCUGAGCGCCAUGUUUCAAACUCUCCAAUGAACACGUUCCAGGGUUAGCAAUCCUUCACUCCUUGGCUGGCCAAUGGGCAACUGGGGCCACCCUCAGCCGUGGAGAUCACUGUCAUCCCUGGCAAUGUGUGGUCCGACAGCAAAU
rnacentral:lncRNA from 1 species